AUGGAACCUUUCAUCAUCACGAAAAGAGGGGUGGAAUCUUUGUUCAUCAGCAGAAGAAGACCCGAACCUUUGACGGUGCAAUUGCUACCUCAUUCUCUAGGAUCUGCACGUGCAACUGGUUUGGGUCAGCUGCUGUCGUUAGUACCCGAUUCUUCCAUGUCUUCACAUGGACAUGGUUUGGAUCCGAUGCCGCUGCCACUGCCGGUGACAUGUGGAGAAACUUCAUUUGGCCCUGUUGUCAGCUCUUCUGGAAUUUUGUUACGUGGUGGAUCGGAGGUGUCGCUAGAGCCGAUCCGCGCUAAAACUGCUAAUGUUCCUACUGUUAAGUCUCCCUUGAUUUCUUUGCACGGACCAGAUUUGGGUGAGGUGCAAGGAUUGAUCAGUGCGAGUGAAACUACUUUGACUGGGAAUUCACCCGAGGAAGAUAUGGUUAACUUCAUUAAAAAUAUAUCCCCUCAGAACCAUAUCUUCAUACAGGCCAGACUCUCUUCAAUAUUUCCUCUAUCCACACAAACUUGUGCUUGA
rnacentral:rRNA from 1 species